UCAGGAGGUAAGAACGAUUGUCUGGCAGUCGGAGGGUUGCCUGUUCAAACCCCGGCCUGGGCGUGUCGAAGUGUCCUUGAGCAAGACACCUAACCCCUAACUGCUCUGGCGAAUGAGAGGCAUCAAUUGUAAAGCGCUUUGGAUAAAAGUGCUAUAUAAAUGCAGUCCAUUUACCAUUUACAACACUUUCUUUCUUUCUUUCUUUAAAAUAAAACAGGUUGAUAAACAUAUAGCAGACAGGUUGAUAAAUAUAUAGCAGACAGGUUGAUAAACAUAAAGCAGACAGGUUGAUAAAUAUAUAGCAGACAGGUUGAUAAAUAUAUAGCAGACAGGUUGAUAAAUAUAAAGCAGACAGGUUGAUAAAUAUAUAGCAGACAGGUUGAUAAA